GAUGAACGCUAGCGGCAGGCUUAAUACAUGCAAGUCGAGCGGAAAGGCCACUUCGGUGGUACUCGAGCGGCGAACGGGUGAGUAACACGUGAGUAAUCUGCCCCUGGCUUUGGGAUAGCCACCGGAAACGGUGAUUAAUACCGGAUACGACCACUUCUCGCACGGGAUGGUGGUGGAAAGUUUUUUCGGCCAGGGAUGUGCUCGCGGCCUAUCAGCUUGAUGGUGCGGUAAUGGCUCACCAUGGCUUCGACGGGUAGCCGGCCUGAGAGGGUGACCGGUCACACUGGGACUGAGACACGGCCCAGACUCCUACGGGAGGCCGCAGUGGGGAAUAUUGGACAAUGGGCGGAAGCCUGAUCCAGCAACGCCGCGUGAGGGAUGACGGCCUUCGGGUUGUAAACCUCUUUCAGCAGGGACGAAGCGCAAGUGACGGUACCUGCAGAAGAAGCACCGGCCAACUACGUGCCAGCCGCCGCCGUAACAC
rnacentral:rRNA from 1 species